GUGAGGAAUAUUGGGCAAUGGGCGAAAGCCUGACCCAGCCACGCCGCGUGAGUGAUGAAGGCCUUCGGGUUGUAAAGCUCUGUGGGGAGGGAAGAAAAAGCGGGAGAGUAACUGCUCUCGUGUUGACGGUACCUCCUUAGCAAGCACCGGCUAACUCUGUGCCAGCAGCCGCGGUAAUACAGAGGGUGCAAACGUUGCUCGGAAUUACUGGGCGUAAAGCGCGUGUAGGCUGACAUGCAAGUCGGGUGGGAAAUCCCAGGGCUCAACCUUGGAACUGCACUCGAAACUGCACGUCUUGAGUACUGGAGAGGGAAGCGGAAUUCCGGGUGUAGAGGUGAAAUUCGUAGAUAUCCGGAGGAACACCAGUGGCGAAGGCGGCUUCCUGGACAGUAACUGACGCUGAGACGCGAAAGCGUGGGGAGCAAACAGGAUUAGAAACCCCAGUAGUCC
rnacentral:rRNA from 1 species